UUACGGGAGGCAGCAGUAAGGAAUAUUGCGCAAUGGACGAAAGUCUGACGCAGCGACGCCGCGUGGGGGAUGAAGGUCUUCGGAUUGUAAACCCCUUUCGGGAGGGAAGAUGGAGUGGGUAACCACUUGGACGGUACCUCCAGAAGCAGCCACGGCUAACUUCGUGCCAGCAGCCGCGGUAAUACGAAGGUGGCAAGCGUUGUUCGGAUUCACUGGGCGUACAGGGAGCGUAGGCGGUUGGGUAAGCCCUCCGUGAAAUCUCCGGGCCUAACCCGGAAAGUGCAGAGGGGACUGCUCAGCUAGAGGAUGGGAGAGGAGCGCGGAAUUCCCGGUGUAGCGGUGAAAUGCGUAGAGAUCGGGAGGAAGGCCGGUGGCGAAGGCGGCGCUCUGGAACAUUUCUGACGCUGAGGCUCGAAAGCGUGGGGAGCAAACAGGAUUAGAUACCCGGGUAGUCC
rnacentral:rRNA from 1 species